UGGCGUUAAGGUGGCCACUUGCUAUCCUGUAAGGGCGAGAAGAAGAAGUUCUCGUUAAUUGACCAUCACCAGUGGUCAGAACGAGCCUGCUUAGUACGCCACAGGUAGCAGUGGAAUGAGCGUCCAGCGAUGCUCAUCGGACUUCUAAAGUGGGAGGAUCCCCGGCAUCACCGUCAGAGGUCCUUAGGAGAAUGACAGGUGUCGGUGGGCCCAAACACUUAGGAGGUUCUGCCACAAAGACGAGUAUGAUCCACCCAUCAUCCUUGGAAGACCGUUCCUCAGCACCGUUAAAGCAAUCAUCUACAUUGGAACUAGAGAAGUCCAUAUGCACUUCCCCUCAGAGAAGGUACGCCGCUAUUUCACUGAGCCUAACUAUAUCGUUGAAGAAUCUAAGCAGGUUAGAAAGCGACGCAACCGCAACUAGAGGAGGCAAAUCAUCAAGGACGGAUGGGCAGACUACGAAGGAGAAGUAGUAAGGUCAGAAGACGUACAGUUUAAACAGAAUUAUCCUGAGGAUACUGAAGCACCGAGUCAGGUGUGGAGAGAGAAGAUAACUAUACAUGAAGAGGAGGCACCGCCCGAAGUACCGACUACGCCACCCAAUGAAUCCCAGGACAAUUGAAGAAAAUGGAGAGUCCUGUUCGGAGGACUUAAAAACACCAAACGCCUUGCAAAGAGGUAAACUUGGUAGUUAUCCUUUUCCCUUUUAAUGAUUUAAAAUAGUUCAUUUAGUUAAUCAUGUUCAUACUAUCCUAAAAAGAAAAUAAAAAUGUUAAAAAACAGUAAGCCCCAUGUGAGUAUACGAGUGGCAUAAAACCCAUAAGUACAUUCACUAUGGUGGCAUAAAAAUAAAAUAUUUCUGCUUUAUAAAACGAAAAUAUAAAAAUAGGGAGUAAUAUUAAGGAGGCUCAAUAUGAUAAAGGCUAGAUAUUUAUGCUAACACUUAAUCAGUUCCACAAAGCAUUGUUGUCUAUUUGAGCUCCACAGAAUUUAGGAAUUAAGAAGACUAGUAGAUGGAGGACAUUCUAAUCGCUGUCAGAAUGCUGCUGACUUUCAAAUACACCUCUGCCACCUGCUAGCUACAUCAAGAGAAAUUACAUCAAAAUUCAGCUUCGGGAGAGCACCCCCAUUUAUCCCGAUAAGUAUUUCUAUCUAUCUUUAUACUUUUACUAUAUUAAAUAUACAUAACUAUGGAAAACAAAAUAAAGAUUUUAUGCUUCUAUAAAUCUAUGUCUUUUGCUUAGUGUGUUUAAUAAAUAAAUAAAGUGGCUAUGCUAAACUGGAUUCUAAUAAAUAAAACUCUAGCAUGGAUAUGAUGAAUAGUUGCUCUGCUUAAUUUGCAAAUUUGAAGUUCUCUCUCAAGUUUAGACAUAACUGUUAUAAUUUAAAGCUUGCUCCAAACCUAAACUUGUGGGAUGAAAACUUGAUCUGAAGUCUAAGUUGUUAACGGAUAUGAUAUGGGAAGGUUGAGCUACUGUUUAUCUGUUCCUAGAGAUGCUAGAAUUCUAUAGAAUUUUAUCUUUAAAAAAAAUCUUUAAAAUAUUGCAUGAUGAGUUCCUGUAUGAUGAGAGUUUAAAUUCCUACCACAGCCAUAUAUAGAUGCUUGCUAGACUUUGAGCCAUGCAUUUACUUUUUACUGCUUAUGAGCAUUGAGUGUGGUCAAGCUGUGUAGACCCCUAGGAGCUUGUCAUGUGGUUAAAUCAAGAUUCACUUGCACGUUCACUCACAUAUGCUACUUCUACUCCGGAAGUACCAUCCACAUAUAUCGACUCAUUUCCAUAUCCAGAACCACCCAAAAAUAUUCUACUUCUAAUCCGGGAGGGAAUAGCCAAAAACAUUUCUGUUUUUCCCCUGUGAAAUAAAUGCUCAAGUUAUCUUGUUACUACCACUUGCUAUAUUAUCUUAUGAGAUGAGUGCUCUAAAAAAAAGAUACGAGGAAAUAAAAAGGGGCAAGUGCCCGGAACCUCGAAACAAAAGAAAAAAAGUGAGACGAGAGGUAAAAAUGGACAAGUGUCCGACAGUAGAAUUAGGGGUACAAGAUACCCACCUGAGAGGAAAGAAAAAGAAAAAAAAAGAAGAGCAUCUCAUUCUCCUCACAAAAUUCCAAAAACCAAGGAAGGUAUGUAUCCCCUCAAAGAGCAAAAGUAGAAUUAGACUUUCACCAUUGUUAUCACCAUCAUCACCAUACACCAUUCAUUCGCCACACAUGCACAUCUUGAUUUGGCUUAUUGAUUUGUUUCUUUGGAUCCAUGGUUUGACUAUACAAUAAAUGUCUUGUAAGUAUGUAUAUUUUAUCUCCCACCUAUGAGCUCCAGAUAUUAAAGCCUUAUUAGAGUAGGGUGAGAGAGAAGGCAAUGUCACUAUGCCAUAUACCACAAAUAACACAUAUCUUGAGAGAAGGCAUAUACCAUCACUGCCUUGGUAAGGAUUCAGAAAUACCACAAAGGAGAGAUUUGAGGGGGUCAUACAAGGAAUCUCAGAGUUUUAUUUGAAAAUCUGCAAAAACUCCAGAGCUAUAGCUGAUCAAGAAUAAGAGACAUGGCACUUGAUUAGACCGUUCUAUCUUUUAACUACUCAUGACAGAAGUGAUGGUUACUAGUCCCAUGGUGAAAGGUAGAGUAAGUAAGUUUUAAGUCUUGACAGUUUACUCUAACUCAGAGAUGAGACCUUAUUUAAAAGCAUGUGUACCGUCAAUUUUUAAAGUAUUGCAGCAACUUCUAAUCUAUCCUUGCUCAGGGACGAGCAAGAGGUAAGCUUGGGGGAGUUUGUUGACGGUCCUCAAGUAUCAAAUUUAAUUAUCAAAUAAACAAAGAAAAGGAUCCAAAUGAAAUCAACAUCUAGACUUAGGGUUUUAUCUGACAGAAUUCCACGAGUUUUGGUGUUUGUCUAUUUCUGCAGGGGGUUAUCAAGAAAUACGGAAGAAAGGCCCACACGUCGGUAUUACAUAGAGAUAUUAACGUGCCGCGCAAUUAUCUUACAUCUAGAAGACUCCAGAAGCCACGGGAAGGAAGCGGAGGCUGAACGGGGCCAGGCACUGGGCGCCUGCCCACUUGACCGGGGCGCCCGCCCCCUGUUGGUGUCCAAUCAGGACACUCUUUCGGGAAAGAUCUCCACCGACCAAAAGGAUCAAGGAUAACCGUUCAAUCAAUGUCGGUUUGAUCCAACAGCCCAUAUUCACUUGAAGGGACUAUAAAACCAGACCCCCUGGCCCUUGGAGGAGAGAGCCUCUCAACCCUAAUUCAUUAUUCUCAAGGGACAAGAAGCCCCUGAUCAAGCCUAGAGCCACCACAUCAAUUAGACAUCUAGAUUAGCAUAGCUACAUAGGAUUAGAACUAGAAGGAGUCAUUCUUCGAUUGGUUUCCGGAUCUGUCAAGAGGAUUCUUGGUAAUUCUCUAAUUGUUCUUCUAAUUGUUCUUCUAAUCAUCUUUAUUCUUCAAUAUUAUGAAUAUGACUUUGUUCUACUUCAAUAUAUUGCUUAUGACUUUGCUCUACUUGUUUAUAUUCAAGAUUAUAUUGUUCUUAGUUUAUCAUAGUUAUGUACUUGGCUUAGUUAGAUUGGAUCUAUAUACAUGUUUAGGAUCGUAUAGCGUUUAUCCAUCGGAUCCAUGGGUAAAUGAUAGAUAUUGUGUAGGCAUGGUGCUUAUACCGUAUUUUUCUGCGAUUGUACCUAAUAUGCCAGAUCGUGGGGUAGUUCGUGAUAGUGAUAGUUUCAUUGAUUCUUAUAUAGUCCCCCUCUCAUGUAUUGGCUGGCAGAGCAAUAUUAUUACAGGGGAGUGAUUGCUAUGUUUCUCAUUUACCUUGCUAAUAUCACUAUGCAAGGGCGUAGUCUUGUCUCGC
rnacentral:lncRNA from 1 species